GACGAACGCUGGCGGCGUGCUUAACACAUGCAAGUCGAACGGUAAGGCCCCAGCUUGCUGGGGUACACGAGUGGCGAACGGGUGAGUAACACGUGGGUGACCUGCCCCGCACUUCGGGAUAAGCCUGGGAAACUGGGUCUAAUACCGGAUAGGACCGCACCGUGAGGGUGUGGUGGAAAGUUUUUCGGUGUUGGAUGGGCCCGCGGCCUAUCAGCUUGUUGGUGGGGUAAUGGCCUACCAAGGCGGCGACGGGUAGCCGGCCUGAGAGGGUGGACGGCCACAUUGGGACUGAGACACGGCCCAGACUCCUACGGGAGGCAGCAGUGGGGAAUAUUGCACAAUGGGCGGAAGCCUGAUGCAGCGACGCCGCGUGGGGGAUGACGGCCUUCGGGUUGUAAACUCCUUUCACCAUCGACGAAGGUUUUCUGACGGUAGAUGGAGAAGAAGCACCGGCUAACUACGUG
rnacentral:rRNA from 1 species